UUCCCNGACGCNGGCGGCGUNCCUAACACAUGCANGUCGAACGAGAAAGCCGAAAGCUUGCUUUUGGCGAGUAAAGUGGCGCACGGGUGAGUAACGCGUGGGUAAUCUGCCUUUGAAUUCGGGAUAACACUUCGAAAGGGGUGCUAAUACCGGACAACAUCUGUUUAAUUUCGGUUAAACAGAUCAAAGAUAGCCUCUACAUGUAAGCUAUUGUUUGAAGAUGAGCCCGCGUACCAUUAGCUUGUUGGUGGGGUAACGGCCUACCAGGGCAACGAUGGUUAGCUGGUCUGAGAGGAUGAUCAGCCACACUGGAACUGGAACACGGUCCAGACUCCUACGGGAGGCAGCAGUGAGGAAUUUUGCGCAAUGGGGGAAACCCUGACGCANCAACGCCGCGUGAGUGAUGAAGGUUUUCGGAUCGUAAACUCUGUCAAGUGGGAANAANUUAUCAUAUAUAAUANUUAUGGAUUGACGGUCCCUNAAGAACACCGCUACUCCNNCCACACCGNGNAUACGAGGUCAACCUUUUCNAUUCUGGCUAAGGCCUAC
rnacentral:rRNA from 1 species